GGUUCACUACAACAUGCUACAGGUCCACUACAACAUGCUACAGGUUCACUACAACAGGCUACAGGUUCACUACAACAUGCUACAGGUUCACUACAACAUGCUACAGGUUCACUACAACAGGCUACAGGUUCACUACAACAGGCUACAGGUUCACUACAACAUGCUACAGGUUCACUACAACAGGCUACAGGUUCACUACAACAUGCUACAGGUUCACUACAACAGGCUACAGGUUCACUACAACAUGC